CUUAGCCCUUCAGAGGGGGACAACAGUUGGAAACGACUGCUAAUACCGCAUACGAUCUGACCUCGGCAUCGAGGAUAGAUGAAAGGUGGCCUCUAUUUAUAAGCUAUCACUGAAGGAGGGGAUUGCGUCUGAUUAGCUAGUUGGAGGGGUAACGGCCCACCAAGGCGGUGAUCAGUAGCCGGUCUGAGAGGAUGAACGGCCACAUUGGGACUGAGACACGGCCCAG
rnacentral:rRNA from 1 species